CGGACUUAAAAUUUGAGCCUUAGUAGAGAAAUUUACUAAGUGACUGUUUUCACAUUCAGGGAAGCCUAAACUUUGAGGUAUGAGGUAAUCCUGAGCCAAAUUUUAGUUAUGAAAUAGGUGCAGAGACUCGAAGGAAACUAUCCUAACGAAAAAUUUUUUCUCUAUUUUUUUAUUACGAGUAUUGAUUUAGUGUACAGUACAAAAUAUUCGAAAUAAUAAAAACAUCUGAAUAUUUAAUAUUCAUAUUCGUUUUUAAAUAAGCUAUAAUAGACGAGGGUAAAGAUAGAGUCCUUUUUUACAAUCUAUAUAAUUUUUAUUUAUCGAUAGUUGUAAAAAGAAAAUCCGUUGGCUUUAAUAGACCUUGAGGGUUCAAGUCCCUCUACCCCCA
rnacentral:ncRNA from 1 species